rnacentral:rRNA from 1 species
UACAGAGGUCUCAACCGUUGUUCGGAUUCAUUGGGCGUAAAGGGUGCGUAGGCGGUCGGGUAAGUCGGAUGUGAAAUCUCAGGGCUCAACCCUGAAACUGCAUUCGAUACUGCCUGGCUAGGGUACUGGAGAGGAGACUGGAAUUUACGGUGUAGCAGUGAAAUGCGUAGAUAUCGUAAGGAAGACCAGUGGCGAAGGCGAGUCUCUGGACAGUUACUGACACUGAGGCACGAAGGCCAGGGGAGCAAACGGG